UGCUCAGGCACUGGUCAUUCUAUAAAGAG
rnacentral:piRNA from 1 species